rnacentral:rRNA from 1 species
AUUGAACGCUGGCGGCGUGCUUUACACAUGCAAGUCGAACGGUAACAGGGAGCUUGCUCCGCUGACGAGUAGCGAACGGGUGAGUAAUGCGUCGGAACGUGCCGAGUAGUGGGGGAUAACGCAUCGAAAGGUGUGCUAAUACCGCAUACGAACUGAGGUUGAAAGUGGGGGACCUUCAGGCCUCACGCUAUUCGAGCGAACGACUUCUGAUUAGCUAGUUGGUGCGGUAAAGGCUCACCAAGGCGAGGAUCAGUAGGGGGUCUGAGAGGAUGAUCCGCCACACGGGGACUGAGACACGGCCCAGACGCCUACGGGAGGCAGCAGUGGGGAAUUUUGGACAAUGGGCGCAAGCCUGAUCCAGCCAUGCCGCGUGUCUGAAGAAGGCCUUCGGGUUGUAAAGGACUUUUGUCCGGGAGCAAAUGCUGGUGGCUAACAUCCACCGGAGCUGAGAGUACCGGAAGAAUAAGCACCGGCUAACUACGUGCCAGCAGCCGCCGUAAAAC